rnacentral:rRNA from 1 species
AACGAACGCUGGCGGCAGGCUUAACACAUGCAAGUCGAACGCCCCGCAAGGGGAGUGGCAGACGGGUGAGUAACGCGUGGGAACAUACCCUUUUCUACGGAAUAGCUCUGGGAAACUGGAAUUAAUACCGUAUACGCCCUACGGGGGAAAGAUUUAUCGGGGAAGGAUUGGCCCGCGUUGGAUUAGCUAGUUGGUGGGGUAAAGGCCUACCAAGGCGACGAUCCAUAGCUGGUCUGAGAGGAUGAUCAGCCACAUUGGGACUGAGACACGGCCCAAACUCCUACGGGAGGGGGCAGGGGGGGAGAGUGGAGAAGGGGCUCAAGUCUGAUCCCGCCAUGCCGGGUGAGUGAUGAAGGCGUUAGGGUAGUAAAGCCCUUUCACCGAUGAAGAUAAUGACGGUAGUCGAAGAAGAAGCCCCGGCUAACUUCGUG